rnacentral:rRNA from 1 species
GAACGAAGCAAUUAAAAUGAAGUUUUCGGAUGGAUUUUUGAUUGACUGAGUGGCGGACGGGUGAGUAACGCGUGGAUAACCUGCCUCACACUGGGGGAUAACAGUUAGAAAUGACUGCUAAUACCGCAUAAGCGCACAGUACCGCAUGGUACGGUGUGAAAAACUCCGGUGGUGUGAGAUGGAUCCGCGUCUGAUUAGCCAGUUGGCGGGGUAACGGCCCACCAAAGCGACGAUCAGUAGCCGACCUGAGAGGGUGACCGGCCACAUUGGGACUGAGACACGGCCCAAACUCCUACGGGAGGCAGCAGUGGGGAAUAUUGCACAAUGGGCGAAAGCCUGAUGCAGCGACGCCGCGUGAGUGAAGAAGUAUUUCGGUAUGUAAAGCUCUAUCAGCAGGGAAGAAAAUGACGGUACCUGACUAAGAAGCCCCGGCUAACUACGUGCCAGCAGCCGCGGUAAUACGUAGGGGGCAAGCGUUAUCCGGAUUUACUGGGUGUAAAGGGAGCGUAGACGGCGAAGCAAGUCUGAAGUGAAAACCCAGGGCUCAACCCUGGGACUGCUUUGGAAACUGUUUUGCUAGAGUGUCGGAGAGGUAAGUGGAAUUCCUAGUGUAGCGGUGAAAUGCGUAGAUAUUAGGAGGAACACCAGUGGCGAAGGCGGCUUACUGGACGAUAACUGACGUUGAGGCUCGAAAGCGUGG